GCAAACUUGGUCAUUUAGAGGAAGUAAAAGUCGUAACAAGGUUUCCGUAGGUGAACCUGCGGAAGGAUCAUUAACAAAUCAAAAUGAAUGUUAGGGGAGGUAUUUGUAUGUAUAUGUACAAAAUAACUCUUUUAAUAUAUACAUUAACCCGGCCGCAAGGCUAGGUCAAGUUUCUUGUAUAUUUUCUCUUCCUUCUUUAGAUUUUGACAACACAAAAGGGAGCUGUGAAAGGUUUCCGUUUAAAAAGUCUGGAGAAAAAAAAGGGGGGGAGUAUAUAGGAAAUAUAUACACGCUUGUAUUGUUUUUGACUGUAAGAUUGAUAUAAAAGAAAUAAUAACUUUUAACAAUGGAUCUCUUGGCUCUUGCAUCAAUGAAGAACGCAGC
rnacentral:misc_RNA from 1 species